rnacentral:rRNA from 1 species
GACAGAAGGUGCAAGCGUUACUCGGAAUUACUGGGCGUAAAGCGUCUGUAGGUGUCUGUCCACGUCUGGUGCUAAAUUGCGGGGCUCAACCCCGUAUCUGUACUGGAAACGAGACGGAUCGAGUCACUCAGAGGCAUCUGGAAUGUCGUGAGUAGGGGUAAAAUCCGUAGAUACACGAUGGAACGCCAAAAGCGAAGGCAGGAUGCGUAGGGGUGUACUGACACUCAGAGACGGAAAGCGGUGGG